rnacentral:ncRNA from 1 species
GUUAAAGUGCCUAACUUCUCGCUCAUGAGACCCCACAAAAGGCAUUGGGCUAUAUAUGGGGUGGUGGCCAUGGAAGUCGGUAUUCGCUAAGGAGUGUGUAACAACUCACUUGCCGAAUCAGCUAGACCUAGUUGUGGAUGGCGCUUGAGCGGAAGAUCUUAC